GUAGGCAUUCCUUUAUUUUUUUCCUUUCAAAUAUGUCCUUAUUUAUUUGGUUGACUCGGGUCUUGGUGCGGCACAGGGUGGGGGUCUUCCUUUGGUCACGUGGAAUCUUCCUUUGGGGCCCACAGAUUCCCGAGCUGUGGCCCACUGGCUCUGUACCGUCCAGGCUUAGUUGCUCCACGGCAUGUGGAAUCUUAGUUCCCCGACCAGAGAUUGAACUUAUGUCCCUGCAUUGCUAGACCACCAGGGAAGUCCUGAGAGUAGACAUCUCGAACAAGUUCCAGGGUGAUGCUGACACAUGCUGCUCUGUCAGGGCCUUGAAUUCAUUAGCAAGGCUUGAGAGCCCUGAUGGGCCUCUUCCACAGAAACACGUAUCAGCUCAUACGCACAGACCUUUCACACCCGCUUAGAGUCACACAGACACUGGAGGCUAUUCUUUGGUCUUCAACCCCCAGGAUAGUGACCCCUGCACCACACAAGAUUACUGUCAAGUCGUUGCCCUUCCCCUAACUCCACCCUAGAAGGUCUCAGAACUGAGAGGACCAAGUCACCUGGGAUACUUGUUAAAAACACAGACACUCUGCCCCUUUCCUCAUUCCCAGAAGACCAGAUUCAAUAGGUCUGGGGCAGGGUGCGGGAAUACACAAGUUUGAUCAAGUUCCCCAGGGGAUUCUGAUCCAACUAUUUUCAUUGAACACACCUGAGAAACACUAAUUACAAACACUUAGGUUUAUGGUUUCCCAGGAAUACGUGUACUGAAGUCUGAAGACUUGAAGGAAUAAAUACUCUACUGAGGAAGUUUAGAGGCUGAGGCUGGUAUUCCUGCUCAAGGGACCCUCCUGAGCAUUCUCUCAAGUCAGCCUAGAACGAUCACUGUGACCACAUGCUUGGUUGAUCCUACCUUCUAGCAGACCAGCAGCUGCCCCCCAGGAAGAAGUCUCCUGUUACACUGAAGCUCUGUCCAGACGAUUCUAAAAAUAGCCCGAUGGAAUCCUGUGGUUGGAAGAAACUGUGAGAGGUCACUGAGUCCGUCCCUCGCCUGCAGAAGGGCACUGGCGUGCAGUCCAGCGUCGGUGCUAUUGGAUACCCCAGAGCCAGGCCAACAGGGAACGGGUCUGAGGCCACUGGCAUGGCUGGCAUCUUGGUCUAAUAAUAAUCAGGUCUUCCUCCAUUCUUGAGAAGAAACUUUUCAUCAGCAGUAGUCCAUUUCCAGAAAUAUACUGUAGCCUGGGGGCUUCCCUUAUGGCUCAGCUGAUAAAGAAUCUGCCUGCAGUGCAGGAGACCUGGGUUCGAUCCCAGGGCUGGGAAGAUCCCCUGGAGAAGGGAAAGGUUACCCACUCCAGUAUUCUGGCCUGGAGCAGGAAAUGGCACCCCACUCCAAUAUUGUUGCCUGCGAAAUCCCAUGGACAGAGGGGCCUGGUGGGUGACAGUCCAUGGGGUCGCAACGAGUCAGACACGACUGAGCGUCUGAGCAUAGGACUUAUCCUGUGUGCUAUGUCUCAGGAACACUUUAACAUAUUUUCAUAAGUAAUUGUCACGUGUGUUCCCAAGGGUUAUUGGCUAUCCUUCUGUCAGUGAGUGGGGUAAAGAGUAGAUCAUUAUCUCACAGUUAGACCAAAACAGAGGGUCUGAAUGUUGCUUUGAUUGACUGUUUGACUCUUUGACACUUGCAUACUUUUUCUCAAACUCUGUAAUUUUGAGGUCACGCUAAUGGAAUGCUCCUUUGUACUCCUGCUGCUGUCUGGAAAUGUCUGUUGUCAUCUUAUUGAUUAAAGAGAUCUCAGAUUUCUAUGGUUUAAUAAGUUCGACCUACAUAGCGGUGAACAGCUCACACUUCACCCAUACUGUUCUGAUG
ensembl:lncRNA